UUCUGGAAGGUUAGGUAAUACCUGGCAAAAGUCAACAUUAACCGGCACAACUACCUAGUAACGUUAGCUAGCUAAUGAUUCCAACAGCUACAGUGGGGUGCGCGAGUAUGGGCGGCGUCGAUUAUGCUGAGUGUCAUUAUUGUAACUUUUAUAAGGUUUGCACAUGUCAGAUUUCAGUCGUUCAGGAGACGGGAUAAUGCUGGAGUCCAAAGGCGGCAAACCGGGAGAAGCAGGUUGAUAACUAUGAGGGUUUGCCUGGUCGCUGACCAUACCAUCCAGCAGCUGAACAGGAUAGUAUCUUUAGAGUAUCCUGUGAGGCAGAUCAAAGUGCCCUAUGGUCAGGAGAGCAGCUUUUUGAAGAUUUUGGGGGAAACAAUUCCCCCAGAUGAAUCCAAAUGUAGAGGCCUUUAAGACAGACAGGAAGCUCGUUCCCCUACAAAAAAAGGACUGUUGUCAAGACAAUGGAGGACAGAGAUGGUGUGGUUGAAUUGGUGGCUCAACAAUUUGUCCAAGGGAGCAUGCAAGUGGCCUUGGAGCAGUAAGUCAACUCUGUCAUAAAUCUGUGAAGAACUUGUCAUUACCUCCUCUAACAUAAGUAUUUUUAAUCAGUCCACCCCCUAAAUCAAUACACAUCACUAUAUUGUCCUUAACACUUAUUUUAAAUAUACAUACGGUCUCUAAACCAUAACAGGUUCAAAUAUCGUCUCAACUCUCUUGGGCUGCUCGAAGCAUUGGGGAACCACCCGGACAGCUUCCGAGCACUUUUUGUGGACUCCAUAAAGCCUCCCACUGCCAGGGACAGUGGUAACCUAUUCCAUACCUUAAAGUAACCUAUUCCAUACCUGGCGGCAACUGGCAGUGUUUGGAGAAUGACACCAUCUGCCACUGGUUCAACUGGCUGGCUGAGGUGCAAGAUGGAGAAUGUCCUCCUCUAACAGUGGCGAUGGUGUUGGAGUUUGCUACUGGGGCAACGGUGGUGCCACCCCUUGGGUUUGAGGACACCCCGACCAUCGAAUUCCUCAACACAGCGCGAGGGCGUCUCGCUGGGCAGCAGAAGAAAAAGUACCCAGAGGCAAACACGUGUGCUGUGACACUAAGGCUCUCUCUUCAUAGCACCUACAAUGCCUUUAGGGAAUUCAUGACCUCCGGUAUUGUGAAUUCCUCACAUUUUGGUGCUGCAUAAAAACAUUUUUACAAUACAUAAUUGUCACUAGUAGCACUAAACUACAGUAGCAAUUGAGUGUUUGAAAAUGUAACUGCAAAUCAACAUUUAACCACUUACAUCUGUAUUGUUUGUACAGUGCAUUCGGAACAUAUAUUGACUUUUUCCACAUUUUAUUACGUUACAGCCUUAUUCAAAAAUGGAUACAAUA